rnacentral:rRNA from 1 species
CAGUAGCCACGGGAAUACGUAGGGUGCAAGCGUUAAUCGGAAUUACUGGGCGUAAAGCGUACGUAGGCGGCUUUGUAAGUUAGAGGUGAAAGCCUGGAGCUCAACUCCAGAAUUGCCUUUAAGACUGCAUCGCUUGAACGUCGGAGAGGUGAGUGGAAUUCCGAGUGUAGAGGUGAAAUUCGUAGAUAUUCGGAAGAACACCAGUGGCGAAGGCGGCUCACUGGACGACUGUUGACGCUGAGGUACGAAAGCGUGGGGAGCAAACAGGAUUAGAUACCCGGGUAGUCCCUGUCUCUUAUAC